rnacentral:snoRNA from 1 species
ACGACCUUACUUGAACAGGAUCUGUUCUAUAGGCUCGUACCUCCUUAUCCCUUAGCACAAAGGAGACAGGAUCACAAGUCUGGUUGAUGAAUCACGACCUUGUGAUCAGAGCGUGAUUAACAGCUUCCUUGGUCCCCUCGGGUCCAAGCUUGAAGCAGUAGAGGAUCGUUCUCAGCUUGUGGUGUUCAUCUCGGCUGGGAUGGUCACAAGGUUGUCUGACAGACU